GAUGAAGAACGUAGCGAAAUGCGAUAAGUAAUGUGAAUUGCAGAAUUCAGUGAAUCAUCGAAUCUUUGAACGCACAUUGCGCCCGCCAGUAUUCUGGCGGGCAUGCCUGUUCGAGCGUCAUUUCAACCAUCAAGCCCCAGGCUUGUGUUGGGGACCUGCGGCUGCCGCAGGCCCUGAAAACCAGUGGCGGGCUCGCGGUCACACCGGGCGUAGUAGAUUUUAUCUCGCUCAGGGCGUGCUGCGGGUUCCGGCCGUUAAAAAGCCUUUUUUACCCAAGGUUGACCUCGGAUCAGGUAGGAAGACCCGCUGAACUUAAGCAUAUCAAUAAGCGGAGGA
rnacentral:misc_RNA from 1 species